rnacentral:rRNA from 1 species
GUGUUGUGUGAAAAACUCCGGUGGUAUAAGAUGGACCCGCGUCUGAUUAGCCAGUUGGCGGGGUAACGGCCCACCAAAGCGACGAUCAGUAGCCGACCUGAGAGGGUGAACGGCCACAUUGGGACUGAGACACGGCCCAAACUCCUACGGAAGGCAGCAG